GGGAGCCGUGAUGAGCUGAGAGGUUCAAGUCCGGUUCUGCGAGGGCCUGGGUGGUGUGAUUCCCCCGGGCUACUCACC
rfam:Gracilibacter sp. BRH_c7a BRHa_1007173, whole genome shotgun sequence.